rnacentral:tRNA from 1 species
GAGGGUUUUGGGUCGUCGCUGCUAACGAUGAUUGGAAUAUUGGUGUGUUCGACUCUCU